rnacentral:rRNA from 1 species
GCGUGCUUAACAACAUGCAAGUCGGAACGGAGCGAAUGAAAGCUUUGCUUUUUAUGAGCUUAGUGGCAAACGGGUGAGUAACACGUAGACAACCUGCCGAUAGGAUGGGGACAACAUUCCCGAAAGGAAUGCUAAUACCGAAUGGCGUGGAGGGAAGGCAUCUUCCUUUCAUGAAAGAUGGCCUCUAUAUAUAAGCUAUCACCUAUCGAUGGGUCUGCGUCUGAUUAGCUAGUAGGUAAGGUAACGGCUUACCUAGGCGACGAUCAGUAGCCGGUCUGAGAGGAUGAACGGCCACAUUGGGACUGAGACACGGCCCAGACUCCUACGGGAGGCAGCAGUGGGGAAUCUUCCGCAAUGGGCGCAAGCCUGACGGAGCAACGCCGCGUGAGUGAAGAAGGUCUUCGGAUCGUAAAGCUCUGUUGAAGGGGACGAACGUAUAUAGUGCGAAUUUUCCUGUGUAA